GCAAGUCGAACGAUGACUAACUAGCUUGCUAGUUAUGAUUAGUGGCGGACGGGUGAGUAACAUUUAGGAAUCUGCCUAGUAGUGGGGGAUAGCUCGGGGAAACUCGAAUUAAUACCGCAUACGACCUACGGGUGAAAGGGGGCGCAAGCUCUUGCUAUUAGAUGAGCCUAAAUCAGAUUAGCUAGUUGGUGGGGUAAAGGCCUACCAAGGCGACGAUCUGUAACUGGUCUGAGAGGAUGAUCAGUCACACCGGAACUGAGACACGGUCCGGACUCCUACGGGAGGCAGCAGUGGGGAAUAUUGGACAAUGGGGGCAACCCUGAUCCAGCCAUGCCGCGUGUGUGAAGAAGGCCUUUUGGUUGUAAAGCACUUUAAGCAGGGAGGAGAGGCUAAUGGUUAAUACCCAUUAGAUUAGACGUUACCUGCAGAAUAAGCACCGGCUAACUCUGUGCCAGCAGCCGCGGUAAUACAGAGGGUGCGAGCGUUAAUCGGAAUUACUGGGCGUAAAGCGAGUGUAGGUGGCUCAUUAAGUCACAUGUGAAAUCCCCGGGCUUAACCUGGGAACUGCAUGUGAUACUGGUGGUGCUAGAAUAUGUGAGAGGGAAGUAGAAUUCCAGGUGUAGCGGUGAAAUGCGUAGAGAUCUGGAGGAAUACCGAUGGCGAAGGCAGCUUCCUGGCAUAAUAUUGACACUGAGAUUCGAAAGCGUGGGUAGCAAACAGGAUUAGAUACCCUGGUAGUCCACGCCGUAAACGAUGUCUACUAGCCGUUGGGGUCCUUGAGACUUUAGUGGCGCAGUUAACGCGAUAAGUAGACCGCCUGGGGAGUACGGCCGCAAGGUUAAAACUCAAAUGAAUUGACGGGGGCCCGCACAAGCGGUGGAGCAUGUGGUUUAAUUCGAUGCAACGCGAAGAACCUUACCUGGUCUUGACAUAGUGAGAAUCCUGCAGAGAUGCGGGAGUGCCUUCGGGAAUUCACAUACAGGUGCUGCAUGGCUGUCGUCAGCUCGUGUCGUGAGAUGUUGGGUUAAGUCCCGCAACGAGCGCAACCCUUUUCCUUAUUUGCCAGCGGGUUAAGCCGGGAACUUUAAGGAUACUGCCAGUGACAAACUGGAGGAAGGCGGGGACGACGUCAAGUCAUCAUGGCCCUUACGACCAGGGCUACACACGUGCUACAAUGGUAGGUACAGAGGGUUGCUACACAGCGAUGUGAUGCUAAUCUCAAAAAGCCUAUCGUAGUCCGGAUUGGAGUCUGCAACUCGACUCCAUGAAGUCGGAAUCGCUAGUAAUCGCAGAUCAGAAUGCUGCGGUGAAUACGUUCCCGGGCCUUGUACACACCGCCCGUCACACCAUGGGAGUCUAUUGCACCAGAAGUAGGUAGCCUAACGUAAGAG
rnacentral:rRNA from 1 species